rnacentral:rRNA from 1 species
UAAGGGAUAUUGGUCAAUGGGCGCAAGCCUGAACCAGCAACGCCGCGUGCGGGAGGAAGGUUUUCGGACUGUAAACCGCUUUUGGCGGGGACGAUGAUGACGGUACCCGCGGAAUAAGUCUCGGCUAACUACGUGCCAGCAGCCGCGGUAAAACGUAGGAGGCGAGCGUUAUCCGGAUUUACUGGGCGUAAAGCGCGUGCAGGCGGUGCGAUAAGUCGUGCGUGAAAGCUCCCAGGCUUAACCGGGAGAGGACGUGCGAGACUGUCGGACUAGAGGCAGGUAGAGGCAAGUGGAAUUCCGGGUGUAGUGGUGAAAUGCGUAGAGAUCCGGAGGAACCCCGGUGGCGAAGGCGACUUGCUGGGCCUGAACUGACGCUCAGACGCGAAAGCAUGGGGAGCGAACGGGAUUAGAAACCCCGGUAG